rnacentral:rRNA from 1 species
CCUACGGGUGGCAGCAGUAGGGAAUCUUUCACAAUGGGCGCAAGCCUGAUGGAGCAACGCCGCGUGCAGGAUGAAGGCCUUCGGGUUGUAAACUGCUUUUAUAAGCGAGAAAUAUGAUGGUAACUUAUGAAUAAGGAUCGGCUAACUACGUGCCAGCAGCCGCGGUCAUACGUAGGAUCCGAGCAUGAUACGGAGUGACUGGGAGUAAAGAGUUGCGUAGGUGGCAUAAUAAGUAGCUAGUUAACUCUGGUGGCUCAACCAUUGAGACUAUUAUCUAAACUGUUAAGCUCGAGACCGUUAGGGGUAACUGGAAUGUCUAGUGUAGGAGUGAAAUCCGUAGAUAUUAGAAGGAACACCAAUAGCGUAGGCAGGUUGCUGGGACGGUUCUGACACUAAGGCACGAAAGCGUAGGGAGCAAACGGGAUUAGAUACCCGUGUAGUC